UACGUAGGGGGCGAGCGUUGUUCGGAUUCACUGGGCGUAAAGGGCGCGUAGGUGGUGAGGUAAGUCCGAUGUGAAAGCUCCGAGCUCAACUCGGAAAUUGCAUUAGAAACUACCUUGCUUGAGGGUUGGAGGGGGGACUGGAAUUCUCGGUGUAGCAGUGAAAUGCGUAGAUAUCGAGAGGAACACCAGUGGCGAAGGCGAGUCCCUGGACAACUCCUGACACUGAGGCACGAAAGCUAGGGGAGCAAACAGG
rnacentral:rRNA from 1 species